AUAAUGAUGACAUGAAAAACCAUGGAAAUAGAUAAGAUCACCAGAGAAAUUGUUGGGAAACAAUUCUCCAAAACAUUUCUACAGUUUUUGUUUAUGAUUAUCUUUUUCAAGGAUGUUUAUGCCAUAGACUGCCUUGGAAGACAGAGAUGAGUAGACAGAGAUCUACCUGGAGCAGAAGUAAAAUUUACUUUCUAAUCAGGGUACCAGAAAUAAUGGCUCCAUCCAGCAAAAAUGCUGAGCAUGUUUGCUAGUAGCCCUUAAAAGAUCAGUUGAGAGGUUUCCUGAACAUGUGAUGGAUCUGUGCCAUAGCAUCCAACCAGAUCACUCUCUAUUAUUUUUACGCACAUUGAAGGAAAAAAAAAAAAAAAGAAAGUAAUGGAAACAUGAAACCAAGGUGCUACAUGUUGUGCCAUGAGAGGUCAAGUCCACUGUCUCUGACUUAGUUCAAUGUCUUCUGCUAGCUUCUAUAAAAUUAAGGUAAAAUGUCAGAACUUUCACAGUUCUUAAAAAUGGAAAUGAAAAAGAAAAGAGAGAAAAAGAAUGAUAUUUUGGACUAAUCAAUAUGUAUAGAACAAGAGAGAUUGGGAGUGAAGAAAAGGAGAAUAAGAAGUAAUAGCCAGUCAUAUUGGAACCAAACCAGAAUAAUUUAUUUUACUGUUUUCCACAAAAUUCUAUUUUUAAAAUAUCUUGCAAAUGGGAGAUCAUCUUUGUUCUGAUGCCAAGUGUUUGAGUAAGUGCUUGGCCACUGGAUCCAAUAAAUUGUAGGAACUAAUUAAAGAACUUAACCAAUAAUCCAUUAUCAUUGACCAUAACUUAUUCAUGUAUCUGUGAAAAACCUCAGUCUCUUUAAUAAGCAGUCACUGCUUAUGUCACACAAAUAAUACAAACAUUUAUGGACAUCUGGGAAAGUUAUUUUUAAAGCUUUUUUUUUUUUUUUGAAACAACUGUAGAUUCACAUGCAGUUGUAGGAAACGAUACAGAAAGAUCCUCUUAACCCUUCACUCAGUUUCCUCCAGUGGUAACAUUUUGCAUAACUACUGUACAAUACUCAACUAGAAAACUGAAGUUAAUUAAACCCAAUCAGAAAAUCACUAGUUUUAUAUUCAUUUGUGGGUACCAGUAUAUUUAGUCCUAUGCAAUUUUAUCAUAUUUAUAUGUUGAUAUGAUCACUACAUUUAAGACAGAACAGUUCCAUCACAAGGAUCCCUUGUGCUACCUUUUUAUAGUCAUAAACACCUUCUUCCUUUGUAAAAUAAGAAUUAGGCAAAUAAAACAGAGAACUUGGGCAGGAAAAGAUGUACAAAAACUAUGACGCUUGAGAAAAAGUGUUAAACUUAAAGAGCAGCAACUUUUAUUCUAUACAGUGAAUUUAUUUUCCUUUGCUUUAUUAGAAAUGGACUUAUAAUAAUUUGUGUUGCUUUUUGGGUGAAAACAAUUUGUAUGAUGGAUGGCUAAAUGUCUAAAUAGCAGAUGGAUAGAUGGAUGGAUGGACUGAUGAAUGGAUUGAUAAAAUCCCUGGUUAUAAAUCAAGAUAUGGCAGAACUGAGAAUCAGAGUAUGAAUCAUCUGGAAGCAGCAUGCAUGGAAAACUCUAAAAAGGACUAACAUGAAGUGAAAACUGGUCAGAGUGAGACUAUGAAAAUAAUCCAG